rnacentral:misc_RNA from 1 species
GCAAACUUGGUCAUUUAGAGGAAGUAAAAGUCGUAACAAGGUUUCCGUAGGUGAACCUGCGGAAGGAUCAUUAAAAAAAUUAUAUAUCCAUACCCAACCUUGUGUGCACUCACUGACCGUUCGCUUUGGCAGGAGGAGUCUUGGGAUCGAACUAUAUAUAUGUUUGAUUCCAAGCGGGGGGAGAGAGAGAGGGACACACUCUCUCUCUUUCUCUCUCGGCCUGCCGGAGUUUUUAAAACAAUCAAACCUUUUUUUUGUUAAUUCUAUUUUUGGACUGAAACCUCGUCUCGAUUCUCUGUAAUCGAUCGAAUCAAAUACAACUUUCAACAACGGAUCUCUUGGCUCUCGCAUCGAUGAAGAACGCAGC